ensembl:lncRNA
CAGAGUUCCAUCAAACUGUCCAAGAAAUCUGAGCCUGUUGAUGUUUGAUCCUGAUGGAGACAUAGUGAAAUGCAGAAAUGGAGAUGCAUCACUCUCAGAGUGUAGGCCCUGCACACCACCAUCUGUUCUCAGCCUUUCACCAUGGAUCCUGCAGCACCAUCGUGCACAGAGGGACUCUUUCUACCCAUGUUCCUGCCUCCAACCCCAGCCCACAGAACCCAGCUCUACACCAACGUCAAUCAGACUCUGGCUAUCAGCAUCAAGGCACAGACACUUAACUCCACGAUCUCUGAGCUGCUGUUCAGCGCGCCGCACACAGUAACUGAAAGUCAAACAGGCCCAGGAGAGUUCACACUGACGUGGACGCCAUCUGACUCAGUAGCUGGACAAAGCCACCCCAUUUGUUUUGUUGUCCAAGCAGUUUUAGGAGCAGCCAAGUACCACUCUGAGCUUCGAUGUGUCAUUGCGACCGUUAGAAAAGCAUCGCCAACUACAUCACCCAAUACACCAGAGUGUGAGUAUGAAGG